rnacentral:rRNA from 1 species
GUGCCAGCAGCCGCGGUAAUACGAAGGGUGCAAGCGUUACUCGGAAUUACUGGGCGUAAAGCGUGCGUAGGUGGUCGUUUAAGUCCGUUGUGAAAGCCCUGGGCUCAACCUGGGAACUGCAGUGGAUACUGGGCGACUAGAGUGUGGUAGAGGGUAGCGGAAUUCCUGGUGUAGCAGUGAAAUGCGUAGAGAUCAGGAGGAACAUCCAUGGCGAAGGCAGCUACCUGGACCAACACUGACACUGAGGCACGAAAGCGUGGGGAGCAAACAGGAUUAGAUACCCUGGUAGUCCACGCCCUAAACGAUGCGAACUGGAUGUUGGGUGCAAUUUGGCACGCAGUAUCGAAGCUAACGCGUUAAGUUCGCCGCCUGGGGAGUACGGUCGCAAGACUGAAACUCAAAGGAAUUGACGGGGGCCCGCACAAGCGGUGGAGUAUGUGGUUUAAUUCGAUGCAACGCGAAGAACCUUACCUGGCCUUGACAUGUCGAGAACUUUCCAGAGAUGGAUUGGUGCCCUUCGGGGAAACUCGAACAC